UACGUAGGGACCGAGCGCUGUCCGGAUUCAUUGGGCGUAAAGAGCUCGUAGGCGGCCACUCAAGUCGAAUGUGAAAUCUCGAGGCUCAACCUCGAGCCUGCAUUCGAUACUGGGCGGCUAGAGUCUGGUAGGGGGAUCUGGAAUUCCUGGUGUAGCGGUGGAAUGCGCAGAUAUCAGGAGGAACACCGGUGGCGAAGGCGGAUCUCUGGGCCAUUACUGACGCUGAGGAGCGAAAGCGUGGGGAGCGAACAGG
rnacentral:rRNA from 1 species